GCUGACUCUCUUUUCAGAUUCAGCCCAGUUGCACCCAAGUAAAAUAAACAGUCUUGUUGCUCACACAAAGCCUGUUGGUGGACUCUCUUCAUAUGGACUCAUGUGACAUUUGGUGCCGAAGACCUGAGACAGGAGGACUCCUUUGGGAGACCGGUCCCCUGUCCUCGCCCUCUCUCCAUGAGAUCCACCCAUGACCUCGGGUCCUCAGCCCAGCCGAAGGAACUUCUCACCAAUUUUAAAUCGGCGAAGCAAAACCAACAAGAAUGAAGUGGUCAGGUAUGGUGGCUCCUGCCUGUAAUCUCAG
rnacentral:lncRNA from 1 species